rnacentral:rRNA from 1 species
UACGGAGGGUGCAAGCGUUAUCCGGAUUUACUGGGUUUAAAGGGUGCGUAGGUGGGUAAGUAAGUCAGUGGUGAAAUCUCCGGGCUUAACCCGGAAACUGCCAUUGAUACUAUUUAUCUUGAAUACUUUGGAGGUAAGCGGAAUAUGUCAUGUGGCGGUGAAAUGCUUAGAUAUGUCAUAGAACACCGAUUGCGAAGGCAGCUAACGAAACUAUAACUGACGCUGAGGCACGAAAGUGCGGGGAUCAAACAGG